GUAUGAGAGGGCUAUCUCUCUGCGAUCUGUCACCCCAUUGAUGCCAGGGUUGAUUUAGCCGAUCUGGCUGGCUAGGCUGGUGUCUCCUUCCUCCCUCAUUGCUCCGUGUGCGUCCCUUCCCAAGCUGGUGCACUCGAAGAGGAGGACUUUCUCCCCAUAGAGGAGGACCCUUCUUUGGUCAAGGAUAUACAAGUAGCUGCGAUCCCCUUCUAGAACCUCCAGACAAGCUCCAAAGCACACAUACCAAUAUGAUAGGAAGUAGUACUUUUAGUUCACUUUCUUUUUUCCUUUCCUUCAUGUGAAUGGAACACAACA
ensembl:misc_RNA 7SK 7SK RNA